rnacentral:lncRNA from 1 species
UUACAUUUUGAUACUGCCACCAAGUACAUCAAGAAUUAAAACAUGAUUUGAGUUUUAACCAGACUGUCUGUCAGUUUUCACUCUAUUCUAGGUAAUGACAUGUUCCUCCACCCAACAGCUAGCAACAGCAAACUUUGUGAUACAAGUUGGAAAGUCUACAUACUUUCUGUUCAGAUGAAGACAAUGCUUCCAUGCAAAAGAGUUCUGCCCGCUCUGACUCUGGUUCCUGUCUCCAGUCCGACUUCUCAUCAGUCCUGCUACUCUGUCCUGGAUUCCCCACUCUAUGCUCCCUUGGAUUCCCCUCCGGACCUGCUUACCCUGUCCCAGCACUUCUCGCUCCAGCCUCAGCCUCCACACCUGGUUUCCGGCAACCCGCCUAAUCUUCCCCCCGUGUUUCAAUAAAUACCUUGGUUACCUCAUCCCAGUCUCAUCUGAGUCAGCUCUUGGGUUCACCUGUUUCGCUCCAUGUGACAUCUUUACCGCAAAAAUGAAUCUGAUUUUCAAACAAAUCACUUCAAAAACCGUUACAGAACUGCCCACCACAACUGGAUCAAGCAGCAUGCUCGGGAG